rnacentral:rRNA from 1 species
AUUGAACGCUGGCGGCAUGCUUUACACAUGCAAGUCGAACGGCAGCGCGGGCUUCGGCCUGGCGGCGAGUGGCGAACGGGUGAGUAAUGCAUCGGAACGUGCCCAGUAGUGGGGGAUAGCCCGGCGCAUGCCGGAUUAAUACCGCAUACGACCUGAGGGUGAAAGCGGGGGACCGAAAGGCCUCGCGCUAUUGGAGCGGCCGAUGUCGGAUUAGCUAGUUGGUGGGGUAAAGGCUUACCAAGGCGACGAUCAGUAGCUGGUCUGAGAGGACGACCAGCCACACUGGGACUGAGACACGGCCCAGACUCCGACGGGAGGCAGCAGUGGGGAAUUUUGGACAAUGGGGGCAACCCUGAUCCAGCCAUGCCGCGUGCGGGAAGAAGGCCUUCGGAUUGUAAACCGCUUUUAUGCGGGAAGAAAGCCAAUGGGCUAAUACCACGGGGGGAUGACGGUACCGGAAGAAUAAGCACCGGCUAACUACGUG